ensembl:lncRNA
GAAUUGUCACAGCUUUAUUUUCGUGACUCAAUACAACAUAGAAAUAUGAUUUUUUUAAUAAUUCAUAUAAAGUUACUGACAAUAGUUUUUCUUUUUUUUUUUUCCAUUUUAAUGAAAAUUAUUUAACUUAGAAAUCUAUUGUGAAACCUUGUCUAGUUUUUUUGCAGUUAACAGAUAUUCCAGUGCAAAAAUAGAUCCCAUUACAGACAGCAUAAAGUGCUUGGAAUGAAGGACCAACAAUAUCGAAAAAGCACAAAAACCAGAGCUUUAUCACGAGGUGUGAGGGGGAAAAUAUACCUAAUCUUAGUAAAAUACUAACAUACUAUAAAAAGGGAUGCAACAAUUUUUAAAAGAGCAUCUAGUAACAAGGAUUCAGAUGAAUAUUUCAUUAUCAAAGUGGUUCAGUACCACACAACACAUGGCUCUUUGGAAAAAUUUUACCUGAUAUAAGAGGGGGAAAAAAAUCGACAGAAAUCACCUUGUAAAUGACUGAUAGUCAAUGAACACAUGACGUACAAUCUUCAAGAGCUGCAGAGCUCCCAGAACACUUAAAACACAGUAGUUUCAGGAUUUGUUUCUUCUUUCUUAGAUUCACAGUUAUUGACAAAAUUCCAAAGAAUCAAGAAGAAAAUAAAAAAAAAAAAUAGCAGACAUCUUUCAAGGCUUGUUUUUGGGAAGGCUUAAAAUCCACAAUCUUAAGUUUCCAGAGAGUUGACAAAAUUAAGUUUUAUAAUUUUAAGCAUAGAAUUUUAAAAAAAAAAAUCUCUUCUUCAACUGAUUUAUAAAAAUGAGUUUUGUUUAGUUAAGUUUUUAUAAUCAAUCAGAUGAAAUAUCUUACAUAACUUAUCAAGAGGGACUCCACAUGGAGAAGAAAAUACUUUUGUUUUGAAAGCUGAAAUUAUUUCUCUCAAAAAUGUUUAUUAGUUCAAUGUUCUUUUUUUAUGGUCAAAGGAGUCUGAAAAAACAAUAAUACUACUAUUCAUAGAUUUGGAUCAUUUUCAUGAUUAUAAAGACAACCAAUUGAAGUCUAUCACUUUGAAUCUCAAAAAUCUACAUUAAUAGAAACUUCUAUGCAUUAGGUAAGGAAUGUAGUCAGAACAAAAAUGUGCUGAUCUCUUAGCAAGAACUAUUGAAAAUAUAUUCAUCUUUUAAAGAGAUGAAAGGCUGUUACUCGGGAGUCAAAUUUUUUACAAACUUGUGGAUAAUCAUUCAAAUAAGCCCUCUGAUGAUUAAAAAAAAUUAAUUUUAAACAAAACUACAACCUAACCUGAAAAUUUCUGAAAUCUCUCUUUAAAAGGUUUGUUUUUAAAAUCUUUUUUAAAAAAUGGAGCUUGAUAUGAAAAAAGGCACUUCAACUGUACUACACAGUAGUUCUCUCCUAUUUUUAUGUUGUAUCCAGGCAGGCUACAUGAAGUAUUACUGAAUUGAAUUGUUUUAAAGCAAAAAACAUCCACACAACUCCCAAAUGUUUAUCCACUAAAAAAUACAAAGGUUAUAAACAUCAUCUAAUUUUUAUGGACAUAUCCAUGAUAAGGAGGUAAUUCUUAUUAUGUCUAUUUUCAGGCCAGCUAAGAGUCUUUAAAAAAACAAAACAAAAAAAAAAAAAAAAAACCAAUAUAUUGUCCUUUUUUUGUAUUUAAAAAACAAUGAUAAAUAAAUUAAAAAAAAAAGAGGCUACAAGAUUAUCUGCUACAAAUGUGGUUUUGCAAAGCCUAUCAUUUUUAAGUGUAUUGUAGUGGCCGGUAAACAAGGUACACUUUUGAAGUCAGCAAAUUUCUAUACAGUUUUUGUUUGGUCUUGCAGAGUCUCUAACCAUUUCUAAGCUGUUGUUAUCUGACACCUUUCAUUUGGUGAUCCUUGAAGAAGGGUGUUAAUGACUAGUUUCAGGGGAUUGUCUUCUCAACACAAAGUCUGUAGUUAUGAUUCUGUAUCUCUCCACCAACCAACAUAUGUAAACCAAUUUAUAUGUAAAAUACC